GAUGAACGCUAGCGGGAGGCCUAAUACAUGCAAGUCGAACGGUAAGGUCCUUCGGGAGUACACAAGUGGCGGACGGGUGCGUAACGCGUACGGAAUAUACCUUCAACAGGGAGAUACCUCCGGGGAACUGGAAUUAAUACCCCAUAGUAUUAUAGAUUCGCAUGAAUUUAUGAUUAAAGCUCAGGCGGUUGAAGAUUAUCGUGCGUCUGAUUAGGUAGUUGGUAGGGUAAUGGCCUACCAAGCCAACGAUCAGUAGCUGGUCUGAGAGGAUGAUCAGCCACACUGGAACUGAGACACGGUCCAGACUCCUACGGGAGGCAGCAGUAGGGAAUAUUGGGCAAUGGAGGCAACUCUGACCCAGCCAUCCCGCGUGCAGGAAUAAGGCCCUAUGGUGUAAACUGCUUUAUUAGGAAGAAAACUUACGAUUCAUCGGAGCUU
rnacentral:rRNA from 1 species